rnacentral:rRNA from 1 species
GAUUAACGCGAAGAACCUUACCUGGCCUUGACAUAGUAAGAACUUUCCAGAGAUGGAUUGGUGCCUUCGGGAACUUACAUACAGGUGCUGCAUGGCUGUCGUCAGCUCGUGUCGUGAGAUGUUGGGUUAAGUCCCGCAACGAGCGCAACCCUUUUCCUUAUUUGCCAGCGAGUAAUGUCGGGAACUUUAAGGAUACUGCCAGUGACAAACUGGAGGAAGGCGGGGACGACGUCAAGUCAUCAUGGCCCUUACGGCCAGGGCUACACACGUGCUACAAUGGUCGGUACAAAGGGUUGCUACCUAGCGAUAGGAUGCUAAUCUCAAAAAGCCGAUCGUAGUCCGGAUUGGAGUCUGCAAUUCGACUCCAUGAAGUCGGAAUCGCUAGUAAUCCGA